ACUGCUCAGUAACACGUGGACAACCUACCCUUAGGUCGGGGAUAAACCCGGGAAACUGGGUAUAAUACCGGAUAGAUCUCGACUGCUGGAAUGCAUCGAGAUCGAAAGCUCCGGCGCCUAAGGAUGGGUCUGCGGCCUAUCAGGUAGUAGUGGGUGUAGCGUACCUACUAGCCUACGACGGGUACGGGUUGUGAGAGCAAGAGCCCGGAGAUGGAUUCUGAGACACGAACCCAGGCCCUACGGGGUGCAGCAGGCGCGAAAACUUUACAAUGCUGGAAACAGCGAUAAGGAGACCUCGAGUGCCAGGUUACAAAUCUGGCUGUCGUGAUGCCUAAAAAGCAUUGCAUAGCAAGGGCCGGGCAAGACCGGUGCCAGCCGCCGCGGUAACACCGGCGGCUCGAGUGGUAACCGUUAUUAUUGGGUCUAAAGGGUCUGUAGCCGGCCGGAUAAGUCUCUUGGGAAAUCCAGCAGCUCAACUGUUGGGCUUUCAGGAGAUACUGUCUGGCUCGAGGCCGGGAGAGGUGAGAGGUACUUCAGGGGUAGGGGUGAAAUCUUGUAAUCCUUGAAGGACCACCAGUGGCGAAGGCGUCUCACCAGAACGGACCUGACGGCAAGGGACGAAAGCUAGGGGCACGAACCGGAUUAGAUACCCGGGUAGUCCUAGCCGUAAACGAUACUCGCUAGGUGUCGGCCACGGUGCGACCGUUGUCGGUGCCGUAGGGAAGCCGUGAAGCGAGCCACCUGGGAAGUACGGCCGCAAGGCUGAAACUUAAAGGAAUUGGCGGGGGAGCA
rnacentral:rRNA from 1 species